GCACUAAGUCACUUUGUCUUUAUGGCAAAUGUGAGAUGCAGUGUAUGGAAUGUCAAAUUUCUAGUAUGAGAAAUUAACGAUUUAAGUCCUUCUUAAAUGAGGCCAUUUACCCAUAGAGGGUGCCAGGCCCGUAUAACGUUAAUGAUUACUAGAUGGCAUUUCCAAAGAGUCGUGUUGCUUGAUAGUGCAGCACUAAGUGGGUGGUAAACUCCAUCUAAAACUAAAUAUAACCAUGAGACCGAUAGUAAACAAGUACCGUGAGGGAAAGUUGAAAAGAACUCUGAAUAGAGAGUUAAAUAGUACGUGAAACUGCUUAGAGGUUAAGCCCGAUGAACCUGAAUAUCCAUUAUAGAAAAUUCAUCAUUAUGAUUUUAAUAUUAAUAAUAUUAUAAUAAUGGUGUGCAUUUUUUCUAUAACGGACAUUGUAAUCUAUUAACAUAAAUAUAUUUAUCAUAAGAUCAAUGAUGCGUAAGUUUAUUCAAAUUAUUUUGCUUGCAAUUUAACAUAGAAUAAAUGCUCUUGAUUUGAUAAAGUGUUGAUAGAUUUAUUGUAUAUAGUGCUUAAAUAUUUAUAUUUUAUAAUAGCAUAUUAAUCAUUGAUUUUUAUGUUUAUUAUAUGCACUUAUAUGAUUAACAAUGCGAAAGAUUCAGGAUACCUUCGGGACCCGUCUUGAAACACGGACCAAGGAGUCUAACAUAUUUGCAAGUUAUUGGGUAUCAAAACCUAAUAGCGAAAUUAACAUAACUUUAAUGGGAUUAGUUUUUAGAUUAUUUAUAGUCUAUUAAUUCAAUCCCGGGGCGUUCUAUACAGUUAUGUAUAAUAAUAUUUAUAUUAUUUAUACCUCUAACUAGAGCGUACCUUGAGCAUAUAUGCUGUGACCCGAAAGAUGGUGAACUAUACUUGAUCAGGUUGAAGUCAGGGGAAACCCUGAUGGAAGACCGAAACAGUUCUGACGUGCAAAUCGAUUGUCAGAAUUGAGUAUAGGGGCGAAAGACCAAUCGAACCAUCUAGUAGCUGG
rnacentral:rRNA from 1 species